UGGGGAAUCGUCCAACGGUAGGACAGUAGCCUCUGGAGCUACCGAUGAUGGUUCGAAUCCAUCUUCCUCAGCCA
rnacentral:tRNA from 5 species